GACGAACGCUGGCGGCGUGCUUAACACAUGCAAGUCGAACGGUGAACUCGAGAGCUUGCUCUUGAGGGAUCAGUGGCGAACGGGUGAGUAACACGUGAGUAACCUGCCCCAGACUCUGGAAUAGCACCUGGAAACAGGUGCUAAUACCGGAUACGACACGAACAGGCAUCUGUAUCGUGUGGAAAGUUUUUCGGUCUGGGAUGGGCUCGCGGCCUAUCAGCUAGUUGGUGAGGUAAAGGCUCACCAAGGCGACGACGGGUAGCCGGCCUGAGAGGGCGACCGGCCACACUGGGACUGAGACACGGCCCAGACUCCUACGGGAGGCAGCAGUGGGGAAUAUUGCACAAUGGGCGAAAGCCUGAUGCAGCGACGCCGCGUGAGGGAUGACGGCCUUCGGGUUGUAAACCUCUUUCAGUAGGGAAGAAGCGAAAGUGACGGUACCUACAGAAGAAGCACCGGCUAACUACGUGCCAGCAGCCGCGGUAAGAC
rnacentral:rRNA from 1 species